GUGCAUGUUCUGUAUAUGCUGCUCAUUGUUUGUAACUUAUGUUUGUAGAAUGAGAAAUGUGAAAGAAUGGUUAAAGCAAGUCGUAAAGUAACAAUGAACAGCAAAAAAAAGUCAUAUUUCAAGUUCAGAGGAUGAGUAAGUAUAAUAAAGAGGAAGUACUUCAGAAAGCUGAAAAGGAUCUAGCAACAGUGACAAAUUAGCACAUGUCUCAAUUAGUCAAAGAAUUGCAGGGUACUGAUUUUUGGAAGCUACGACGAGCAUACUCACCUGGGGUAUGAUUAAUGUAACUUUUUUAUUGGUUGAGGACAAAAAUACUUUCAUCUGAUACAUGCCUUUGGUGAACAAGAGUAUGUUGAAGCAGCUACUUUCUGCGGUUUCUGUAAAAAUGGAAUGCUUUUGACGCUUGACGAGAUAAAAAACUUGCAGAUUUGAUUGGAGAACUGAUGCGUCUGGCUAUUUGUAGGAUAUCAGAUGGUAAGCUUGAAUUCGCUUAAAAGAUAUGCAGAUUUGCAUGCGAUAUAUACAGGGAGCUUACACUUGUAGUGCCCAUAUGGAUGAUAGUCAUGAUAUGAAGACAAAGAUGGAAAUAAUGCUCCAAAGUAUCAUGAAAAUAGAGAAUGGAAUACAACGACACUUUAUUGAUUAGCUAUACUUUGCCAUGUUGACCAACUGCUCAAGAACUACUUCAACUGUCAGCAUUUCAGUUGCUGCUACUCCUCCUCCCAAAUUGCCAUCUGAAAUUAUAGGGAAGACUAUGGAAGAGUGCAAAACCUCCUCGAUCGACACUCCUGAUGAAUGGUGCUGAUGUCUAUGAGGCUGACACUAAAUGGUGGGUGAGAAGGGUUGCUUACUAUAAACAUUCUCUGAACAUUAAGUUGGGAACUCCAGCCAUACGAAAUGUGAUGGACAUGAAUGCAUUGUUUGGGAGUUUUGUGGCAGCACUAAAAUAUGAUCCUGUGUGGGUUAUAAAUGUAUUACCAGCCUGCAAGCCAUCAAGUCUUGAUGUGGUCUUUGACACAGGUCUUAUAGGAGUCUAUCAUAAUUGGUGUGAACCUUUCUCAAAAGAUCCAUCUUCUGGCAAAAGAAGGUACGGUCAUCAUAGCCUCUUGUUUUAUCUAUUGUUUCCCAGUUGUGAUGACGCAUUCUAGGGAACAGCGUGAUGUGAUUUAAAUUUUAAUCGACUAAUAACUGCCUCAACUAACUUUUGGCUAUUGCUGUCUGAUGCUCCUAUCUUUGUACAUAUCUCUUUUCCUAUCCAAAAUCAAAGUGUUUUAUAUCAUUAAUUUGGAUGCAUAUUUUAAAUUCUUAAAAUUC